rfam:Legionella longbeachae NSW150, complete genome
AAAGUCCUGUCGUAGAAGGGGAACCGAUCCCACUAUGUAGUGAGUCUUGCGUUGACGUAGGUAACGAAAUCAACGAAGCGUAGACAACGAAAUUACCGAGCCGAAAUCCGAGAACGCAUAGGGUGAACGAAAUUAGCCCCGAAAGAACGAAGCGCGAGAGCAGAGGGUUUUGAACGGCCCGCAAGCAACAGAUAGAUACAGGAACUAAAUCGGGAACUCUGUAUCAAUCUCUCACCGGGGUUGUAAACGU